rnacentral:rRNA from 1 species
AGAGUCUGAUCCUGGCUCAGGACGAACGCUGGCGGCACGCUUAACACAUGCAAGUCGAACGAGAGAAGAGGAGCUUGCUUUUCUGAUCUAGUGGCGGACGGGUGAGUAACACGUGAGCAAUCUGCCUUUCAGAGGGGGAUACCGAUUGGAAACGAUCGUUAAUACCGCAUAACAUAAUUGAACCGCAUGAUUUGAUUAUCAAAGAUUUAUCGCUGAAAGAUGAGCUCGCGUCUGAUUAGCUAGUUGGUAAGGUAACGGCUUACCAAGGCGACGAUCAGUAGCCGGACUGAGAGGUUGAUCGGCCACAUUGGGACUGAGACACGGCCCAGACUCCUACGGGAGGCAGCAGUGGGGAAUAUUGCACAAUGGAGGAAACUCUGAUGCAGCGAUGCCGCGUGAGGGAAGAAGGUUUUAGGAUUGUAAACCUCUGUCUUCAGGGACGAAAAAAGACGGUACCUGAGGAGGAAGCUCCGGCUAACUACGUGCCAGCAGCCGCGGUAAUACGUAGGGAGCGAGCGUUGUCCGGAAUUACUGGGUGUAAAGGGAGCGUAGGCGGGAUCGCAAGUCAGAUGUGAAAACUAUGGGCUUAACCCAUAAACUGCAUUUGAAACUGUGGUUCUUGAGUGAAGUAGAGGUAAGCGGAAUUCCUAGUGUAGCGGUGAAAUGCGUAGAUAUUAGGAGGAGCAUCAGUGGCGAAGGCGGCUUACUGGGCUUUAACUGACGCUGAGGCUCGAAAGCGUGGGGAGCAAACAGGAUUAGAUACCCUGGUAGUCCACGCCGUAAACGAUGAUUACUAGGUGUGGGGGGACUGACCCCUUCCGUGCCGCAGCAAACGCAAUAAGUAAUCCACCUGGGGAGUACGACCGCAAGGUUGAAACUCAAAGGAAUUGACGGGGGCCCGCACAAGCAGUGGAGUAUGUGGAUUAAUUCGAAGCAACGCGAAGAACCUUACCAGGUCUUGACAUCGUAUGCAUAGCUCAGAGAUGAGUGAAAUCUCUUCGGAGACAUAUAGACAGGUGGUGCAUGGUUGUCGUCAGCUCGUGUCGUGAGAUGUUGGGUUAAGUCCCGCAACGAGCGCAACCCUUACUGUUAGUUGCUACGCAAGAGCACUCUAGCAGGACUGCCGUUGACAAAACGGAGGAAGGUGGGGAUGACGUCAAAUCAUCAUGCCCCUUAUGACCUGGGCCUCACACGUACUACAAUGGCUGUCAACAGAGGGAAGCAAAGCCGCGAGGUGGAGCGAACCCCUAAAAGCAGUCUUAGUUCGGAUUGUAGGCUGCAACCCGCCUACAUGAAGUCGGAAUUGCUAGUAAUCGCAGAUCAGCAUGCUGCGGUGAAUACGUUCCCGGGCCUUGUACACACCGCCCGUCACGCCAUGGGAGUCGGUAACACCCGAAGCCUGUAGUCUAACCGCAAGGAGGACGCAGUCGAAGGUGGGAUUGAUGACUGGGGUGAAGUCGUAACAAGGUA